rnacentral:rRNA from 1 species
CUGUCGUCAGCUCGUGUCGUGAGAUUGGUUAGGGUUAACGUCCCGACAACGAGCGCACCUCGUCCUUAGUUGACUAACAGUUCGGCUGAGCACUCUAGGGAGACUGCCUUCGCAAGGAGGAGGAAGGUGAGGACGACGUCAAGUCAUCAUGGCCCUUACGGCCAGGGCUACACACGUGCUACAAUGGGGCGUACAGAGAGCUGCGAUACCGCGAGGUGGAGCCAAUCUCUUAAAGCGUCUCUCAGUUCGGAUUGUUCUCCGCAACUCGAGAACAUGAAGCUGGAAUCACUAGUAAUCGCAGAUCAGCUAUGCUGCGGUGAAUACGUUCCCGGGUCUU